AGGUUUCUCCUUUUCAUUUGCAGAGCUCUGCAAGAUGGCCUUGUAUUUCUCAAAAAAUGGUGGUUCAAUUGCCAUUGCCUCACUAUCUUCUCGAUCCUGCUCAGACAAAUAAAAAUGGAGUAAGUAGUUAAAACUCAAUCAAAAGAACUACUACUGUUUAUAUGAAUUGUAAAAUCAAAUGUUCAUAAAAAAACUUUUGAAAUUGCAGAAAAUGGUCCAAUGAUCACAUGGAUAUGCACAAUACCUACAAUGAAUUACUUAUAGUUCAAUGAUCUUAGAAACAAUUGAAGAAACUGAAUCUUUCCAAGUGUUAUUCUUGCUAUAAAUUUGUCAGUAGUCCUUGUGAAACCAUAUAAAUAUUAUAUAUAGUACAUAUCAAUAUGUCCUACAUCUUACUGCUUCUUAUAUGUUUUGAUAUGUCUGCAGUUACUGAGUUGUUUUCAUUUUCAUGACAAACAGUGAAAGACCCCUUUUGUCAACUAAUUUCCAAAUGACAAUUAGGGAACAUUUUAUUCAUUUUCCAAGCUACAAUAGUUAUCCUAGUAUGGUUAUAUGGAUUUACUCAUAAAAUUGGAGCUGAUCUUGCUUUUGCAAAGCCAUCCAGAGCAGUCAUUUUAACCUUUUACUGUCAUACAUAUACAUAUACAUAUACAUAUGAUUUAAAGAGAUUCCAUGUUCUGCAGAUAUCUUAGUAGUGAUACAUGUUGAGUUAUGAAUUAUCCUUUAAUUCCUCCAAUACAAUUCCCUGAAUGAGAUUAGAAUUUUUUUUUUCCUAACUUGGCCAUGAGAGACCUUAACAAAAUGUGUUGUGUUAGCUAUAGGUAUAGAAGGUGCAUAAAUAGUUAAAUAAAGUGAAGUUAUGUAUCAAAUUCUCCUCGUUAAAUUACCUGAUGGAUAUCAGCUUUGAAUUUGUGUGUAUUCACCUUAUCUCCCUUGGCAGAUUUCUGGCAAUGCAAGCUCAUAAGCAACUACAAGGAGAAGAAAAACCCCACAAACCAUUUCUGCAAUUCAGAUCAUUGGAGUUGAGGAAAUUAAUGAUUAAAGGUAAAGUAGCAGAUAAUUGGACACAUUCUAAGAAUAAGAAUAUUUCAGUUCUUAAAGCAAUAUUCCUUUGAUACUGGAUGACCAAUCUAGGUGACAUAUUGUGUAGUAAACUAUCAUAUUGUAGAUUCAUUGGCUAAUUAUUAAACUUUGGUGUGGUCAUAUUGUGUUAAGCUGUUUUU
rnacentral:lncRNA from 1 species